rnacentral:rRNA from 1 species
UACGGAGGGGGGCUAGCGUUGUUCGGAAUUACUGGGCGUAAGGCGCACGUAGGCGGCUUUGUAAGUUAGAGGUGAAAGCCCCGGAGCUCAACUCCGGAAUUGCCUUUAAGACUGCAUCGCUAGAAUUGUGGAGAGGUGAGUGGAAUUCCGAGUGUAGAGGUGAAAUUCGUAGAUAUUCGGAAGAACACCAGUGGCGAAGGCGACUCACUGGACACAUAUUGACGCUGAGGUGCGAAAAGCGUGGGGGAGCAAACAGG